GCGGAAGUGGUGGAAUUGGUAGACGCGCUAGAUUCAGGGUCUAGUGAACGCAAGUUCGUGGGGGUUCAAAUCCCCCCUUCCGCA
rnacentral:tRNA from 1 species